UUCGUCACGCUACACGGUCCAUUCCACAGAGAUUGAGAGAGAGAUUGAGCUCGCCAUUACCAAGAGAUAAAAAUCGUCGCUGUCGUAGUUCCUCGGCUCCACUGUCGCUGGGAGCCCGCGGUGUGGUCGUGGGUGUCUCCCUGGGGCAUCGAUUGUGUGCGGGGUGCCACCAAGCGUGUAGACGGCCGGAGCACCUGGAAUUCCUCACCUACGCGAACUACCCCCACCAGAGUCCGCCCUGUGCUGUGGCGGGGCACCUCUACACCCCAACUUGGACGAGCAAGGGACCGAUGACCCGAAGCAUCGCAAGUUAAAGAUUCUGAGAAGGAGCUCGCAGAAGGCAAGUUGUGCCAUUGAUCACAUUCUUUAACCUAAUAAUGUUCUUGUUUCUGGUAAUCAUCGUAACAUGCUUAGGUUAAGUUGACGGGACCUAAUAGUUUACCUAGCUUUGUUUACCACACACCUUGCAUACAAAUGAAUUAUUGGGUAGUCUUGCUAUUGCUCUACCUGUUUUUUAAGUUAAUGUUACUUAUGAUUCAUGCACAUGUUCCGAUAUGAAUUAUUAUUGUUGGCUUUAUUAUGGUACAUUUUAAGAUUAUUUUGUUAAUUGGAACAUGGAGCGACCACUGAGACAAUAGUGCACCCAAAAGAACUAUAUGGAUCUGGUCUUGGCCAAUUAAUUAGGAAAGCUAGUGUGGGUUAAUCUUUUCUCGAAAGGGGCAAGCGAUGAGUGCAUCUCUGCAAAGUAUAGGGAGGUCCUCGGGUCGAACGGUCCAUAAUAGCUUUUCGGACGAGAGAUUCCUAUACUUUAUUCUUCCUGAAUCUAUAUCAGGAUUUCUCAUGCUAGUGGGGCUUUGUAAAGGCCUCGUAGUAAGCCCUUGCCUACUCACCAUGGUAGUGUUUAAGGAUUUGCAUAACCCGAGGUAUAUAAAGGAUCACGAAUUGUGGGUAAAGAUGUGCCACCUCCGCACAGUGUAAAACUGAUAUAUUAGUCGUGCUCCCGGUCAUGAGCGGCUCGGACCCUCACAUGAGUAACUUAUGGAAUGAAAACUUAACAUGUCAUGCUUUGCAUUGUGGGAUAUAUUAUUCAUCAUGAUCAAUUAUUUAAUUAGAUUGAUAUAUACUUAUACUUAGUAAUUGCUAAUAAAAUUUUGACCAACUUCUUUAAAAGCAAUGCUCAGCGUAUGACCGUAUGGGAGCUCAUGCACAUGAGCCCACACCGUAAGUGAGCUCCUACACAUUAUUCCCCAUAGUUAUUGAGCGAUGGCUGUAUGAGAGCUCACACCUGCUAUAAUCACACAAGGUGAAGAGCAGGUACCAUCGAAGGAGGAGUACUACGAUGAGUUUGAUGAGAUCUAGGCGUAUCGUCUCCCAGUCGACUAUGGCGUCGUGGAGAUAGUUAUCUUAGUUCAAUUUAUUUAUUUAUUUAUUUUGUAACACAUUCUCGUUAUGUAAUAAAGAUUAUGACAUUCGUCUCUAUACACUGAGUUAUUGUAUGUGUGAACCUUUAUUUGGCGCACGUAUGAAACGUAUCCGGGUUUGCCCUUAAA